CGAUGUUAAACGGGUUGUCUCUCAGACAGCCUCGRGGUCUGAUGAGGGUGGGAGCUCCGAGGAUCUGAACCCGAGGUAGAAGCCACCGGAGAGGGAGACAGAACCGAGGACGAAUACGCAGGGACCUCUGGAGUCCGGGGCGUCGAAGACGUUUCUGGUCUGUGCCAGGUCCGGGCUCAACAUCUCCAAGCAGACCCUCGUUGCCAGAAGACGCUUUCUUUGACUUCCACGGCGAGUGACGUAUCUCCAUGGCUGGUUGGGUCGAGAACAGCGCCGUUCUCCAGGGAAUGGGUCGGGGUCUCCACCUUCGUUCUCCACCUCCAUUCUCCAGUUUGRAGCCGCACAUGUAACAUAGAGAAMACCAGCAAAGGGACCCUCAACAUCACGCAGGCAUGCCCUCACUGUGAGCUAUAAARGGAGCAGGGAGGACACUUGAAUCAGUGUGUGACCGACCAGUAUGUUUGAUGAGGGGCCAGAAGCUGAUCUACGCUGCCAUGCCCAUCCAUGUGGCGCUGGCAAAGACCUCACCUCCAGCUUCACCUCUUGCCUGCUCACCAACGGRCGUCAAUGGGGAGACCAGGAUUAGAUGCAUCUAUGGAGCCAGCACUUGGAGACUUGCAAGAGGAUGUGAUGUAGUUCUGACCCGGCAGAGAGGCUUGAUACUGACGUCUCUGAAUGGAGAGAGACCUGGCACUCAACACAUCCACAAUGUGGGACUYAAGGUGACUAGCAAUAAUACAGAACAGCAGAAAUGUCCAGUAUUUGCAACACCCUUUCAUUC